GUGGGGAAUUUUGGACAAUGGGCGAAAGCCUGAUCCAGCCAUGCCGCGUGCAGGAUGAAGGCCUUCGGGUUGUAAACUGCUUUUGUACGGAACGAAACGGUCCGGGUUAAUACCCUGGGCUAAUGACGGUACCGUAAGAAUAAGCACCGGCUAACUACGUGCCAGCAGCCGCGGUAAUACGUAGGGUGCAAGCGUUAAUCGGAAUUACUGGUCGUAAAGCGUGCGCAGGCGGUUUUGUAAGACAGGCGUGAAAUCCCCGGGCUCAACCUGGGAAUUGCGCUUGUGACUGCAAGGCUGGAGUGCGGCAGAGGGGGAUGGAAUUCCGCGUGUAGCAGUGAAAUGCGUAGAUAUGCGGAGGAACACCGAUGGCGAAGGCAAUCCCCUGGGCCUGCACUGACGCUCAUGCACGAAAGCGUGGGGAGCAAACAGGAUUAGAUACCCUAGUAGUCC
rnacentral:rRNA from 1 species